rnacentral:tRNA from 7 species
GACACUUUGGCGGAGUGGUUAACGCGGUGCCCUGCUAAGGCAUUGUCCUAUGGACGCGCAGGUUCGAAUCCUGCAGGUGUCG